CACGUAGGGCGCAAGCGUUGUCCGGAAUUAUUGGGCGUAAAGAGCUCGUAGGCGGUCUGUUGCGUCCGCUGUGAAAACUCGGGGCUUAACCCCGAGCCUGCGGUGGAUACGGGCAGACUAGAGGUAGGUAGGGGAGAAUGGAAUUCCCGGUGUAGCGGUGAAAUGCGCAGAUAUCGGGAGGAACACCGGUGGCGAAGGCGGUUCUCUGGGCCGUACCUGACGCUGAGGAGCGAAAGCGUGGGGAGCGAACAGG
rnacentral:rRNA from 1 species